GUCGUUUGCUCCAGAAGUGGAUGCGCCAACCGCAAGGAGGCAGUCCCCCAAGGAGUGCACGGUAACUGGGGUGAAGUCGUAACAAGGUAGCCGUAGGUGAACCUGCAGAAGGAUCA
rnacentral:rRNA from 1 species